rnacentral:rRNA from 1 species
AUUUGAAGUCUCGGAGCCGGGUGUUGGUUCCGGUAGCGAUCGAGGGAAAUUAGUACCGAAGUCCGGGAUGGAAGAUGGCGAGAAAAGCUGUGUGUAUUUCUGCGGUGCCCGUACCGCAAACCGACACAGGUAGGUAGGAAGAAGAUUCUAAGGCCAACGGGAGAAGGGUUGUUAAGGAACUCGGCAAAUUGACCCCGUAACUUCGGGAGAAGGGGUGCUCUAGAUAUAGAGCCGCAGAGAAUCGGCCCAAGCAACUGUUUACCAAAAACACAGGUUUGUGCUAAAUCGAAAGAUGACGUAUACGAGCUGACGCCUGCCCGGUGCUGGAAGGUUAAGAGGAGAUGUGCAAGCAUUGAAUCGAAGCCCCAGUGAACGGCGGCCGUAACGAUAACGGUCCUAAGGUAGCGAAAUUCCUUGUCAGGUAAGUUCUGACCCGCAUGAAAGGCGUAAUGAUUUGGGCACUGUCUCGACAGCCCGCCCGGCGAAAUUGUAGUACCGGUGAAGAUGCCGGUUACCCGCGACAAGACGGAAAGACCCCAUGGAGCUUUACUGUAGCCUAAUAUUGGGUUUCGAUGUUGCAUGCACAGGAUAGAUGGGACACUGGGAAGCAAGUGCUUUGGCAUAUGUGGAGUGGCCGUUGGGAUACCAUCCUUGCGAUAUUGGAAUUCUAACCUGCGCCUUUGAAUCAAGGCGGGGGACAUUGUUAGGUGGGCAGUUUGACUGGGGCGGUCGCCUCCUAAAGAGUAACGGAGGCGUUCAAAGGUUCGCUCAGCUUGAACGGAAAUCAAGCAAAAGAGUGCAAACGCAGAAGCGAGCCUAACUGCGAGACUGACGGGUCGAGCAGUAACGAAAGUUGGAGUUAGUGAUCCGGUGGUAUGUGAGUGGAAAUGCCAUCGCUCAACGGAUAAAAGUUACCCUGGGGAUAACAGGCUGAUCUCCCCCAAGAGUCCACAUCGACGGGGAGGUUUUGCACCUCGAUGUCGGCUCAUCGCAUCCUGGGGCUGUAUUCGGUCCCAAGGGUUUGGCUGUUCGCCAAUUAAAGCGGUACGCGAGCUGGGUUCAGAACGUCGUGAGACAGUUCGGUCCCUAUCUGUCGUGGGCGCAGGAUAUUUGAUGGGAGCUGUUCCAAGUACGAGAGGACCGGAGCGGACGUACCUCUGGCGCACCAGUUGUUCUGCCAAGGGCAUAGCUGGGCAACUAUGUACGGAUCGGAUAAACGCUGAAAGCAUCUAAGCGUGAAGCCGACCCAAAGAUAAGAUACCCCAUUGUUUCAAACAAGUAAGACCCCUUGAAGACUACAAGGUUGAUAGGCACGAUGUGUAAGUGGAGUGAUCCAUUCAGCAAGCGUGUACUAAUAGGUCGAGGGCUUGACU